CCAGGAUUUGCGAUGUUUUGGCUUAAUUGUAAUUAAAGGAAAUGCUUUGUUGAACUUAAAAGCAUAUUAAAGCACAUAAAAGCAUAUUAAAAAAAUCACUGAAAAGUGAUAAUUUUAAAAUUACAGGAAAGUGCCACUCGGAGGUUAAGCAAAAUUAAAUUAAAACUUGUAGCUACUUUAGUUUUUUCAAUUUAUAAAUCUAGUUUAAAUUAAACUAAAAAGAAAUAUAUCUUUUUUGUAAACAAACACCAUAGAGAAAUAAAAAAAAGAGAGACGUCAAAGGAUAGGGAAUAACUGGCACAAUCUUUCUGCGCAGGUAAGUAGCACAUAGGGGCGCUGCUGUUUCUGAAACUAAAAUUUACCCAUGGUACAAUAAAGUAUUUUGAUUGUACCGUGAAGAAAAUUUACAUUUUUGACAAUUGACAUUGACUGUGUGUUUUUAGGACGCCAUUUUGUUGUGCAAUUUCCCGGCCCGGCAUAAAUAUAUAAUUUGGCGGUUUGUACAUGGUUUAUACUGAAUACUACUGAACUGAACAUAUUUUCAUUACUGGAUAGUGCUGGAAUUGCUGAAAUUGAAUAUCGGAUUGGGAGUAUAGACAGACUCGACAAAGACAUCAACUUUUGAAAAGGAUAAUUACGAAGUACAGCAAAAUUGAAGAUAACAUUAAUGUCAUUAGGAACUUGGAAUUACAGAGAAGUGAUAUAGACUAAUCAUCAUCAUCAUCAGCCCCUCUAGAUCCACUGCUGGACAUAGGCCUCCCAUGUUUGUAGACAAGUAGACUAAUAGAAUAACAAGUAUAGUGUAAGUACAUGUAAGUAGGUAGGUUAACACCUUGGCUAGCGUGUGAGAUGCCAGCAUUUCACACAAAAUAUUGACUGUAAUACCGUGUGAGACGCUGGCUUCCAUUGUUAUUAAAUGAUUUAAAAUGCUCUAAAGCGAGAGUUUUUAGUUUAUCAUAUUGGUUUCAAAAUAAGGAUAAAAUGGUACAAAAUUACAGGUUAUUAGUUUAAGUGAUCGCUAACCAAGGUGUUAAACGUUAAUAAAGGUAUGGUAGUUAUAUUGUAUGUAGGUACAGUUGAGUCCAUGGUUCUCACCCACAUAACAAUGAUGUUCGUAUCAUGUUCUAAGCAUAUACUACCAACAUUCGUCAGAGUAUAUUCUUUUUAGUAUAUGCGUAGUACAAGCAUAGCAUGUACCUUAAAAAACAUUCUAAAUUUCAUGUUCUUUGCACAUACUUUAAAGUAUAUUCUCGUACCGAAUAUACUGAGUACAUUCGUGUACGUAGUAACUCGGAAUAUUCGUAAAAGUUUAUUCUUAGAAUGUACCUUUACCGAAUAUUCUUAGCACAUACUUAUAAGUACAUUCUUAACACAUACUUAUAAGUAGAUACUAUUCUCAGAAUAUACUUUUACCGAAUAUUCUUAGCACAUACUUAUAAGUACAUACUUAACACAUACUUAUAAGUAGAUACUUUUAAAAUAUCCUAAAAAUAAUAUAUAUGUAUGUAUAGGAAGAAUAAUGUUAGCCUAUAGAUUAUCAACUUCGUUAAGAAUAAUUAAUGAAAUUUAAAAAUUUAUGUAUGUAGGUACUAUUAAUUAAACUACCGAAUUCAUUAUUUAAAAUUGUUUUAAUUGUAUGGUAAAAAUGUUUAAGAAUUAAUUGUAUUAACGAAAAAGGAGAAAUUGUCGUUUCGCUUUCAUAACUGAAAUGCAUUUACUAUUUUGAUUAAGUUUAUUGAGUAUUCUUAUGAAGAAUUUUAUUUUUACAUGGAAUUGACAUUCAGGUAAGCUGUGUGGCUGAGCCAAAACCCACAACCGGCACAAACAAAGCGGAAACGACCGCUGCAUACCUGCAUAGGGGUUAGCGGGUAGGGGGUUGGGAACAAAGGAAAAAUACAAAAUAUGAAAAUAGUUACUGAAUAGGCAUUUGGCAUUUGUGUCUACACUUAACACUAACAAUGUCUAUGCUGUGUUGUGAGGAAGACCAAGUAUUUCAACCAGGAAUAGGAACAUGCAUAAUUAAACGUUUUAUUUUGUUUGCUGUCAACUUACAAAUAAAAAAUUCAUUUUGGUACUUCAAUAUUACUUAAAUAGUAAGUAUGUAUAUAGGUACAUAUAAGCAACAUAUAAAUUUUAGUUAUUUACAUACAUAUGUUACAUAAUAUUUAUUUGGGUACGAUAGGUAUAUGAAUAUGAAUAUAUAAAUUUAUAUAUUCAGCAUUUUUAUUUUUAUAUGCACAUAAUAACUAAAUAUAUAUACCUACUUACCUAUAUAAUAUUGAUAUAACUAACUAAAAUUUAUAUAAUAUUUUAUAUUUACUUUUUAAGUAAUAUUGUAGAAUGUACUAACUACAUUCUCAUAUGUAAUAUGUAAAUUUAGUAGAAAGUAGAACCUAGGAUGAGAUUCGGUGAUGCUGAAAACAUGCUUCUGAGCAAUAUAGCACUUCCUUGUAAUAUUCUUCCCAUAUACUAAAAAGUACAUUCUUCCUAUAUACUAAAAGAUGUGAGGUAGUACAUUCUAAGUAUAUAAAUAGAAGGUUUAUAGCACCUUCUUAGAAUAUCCUAAAAAGUAUAUUCUUGGUAUAUACUGAGAAGAAGUGCGGUAGUACAUUCUAAGUAUAUACAUAGAACGUUUAAGUACUGUAAUGUAGUACAGUCAAACCCGCUUAUUGGAAUAGCCUUUGUGCCAAGUAAAAGUAUUCCUAUAACCGGGAUAUUCUAAUAACCGAUCAUUGGUUGCUACUAUAAAUGUUUCGGGACCUCAAAUUUCUAUUCCUUAAACCGGGAUAUUCCUUUAAGAGGUAUUCUAAUAAGCGGGUUCGACUGUAUAUACUCAGUAUGUGCUCUGCACAUUCGCAAUGGUAAGUACGCAUAUUCUUAGUAUAUACUUUUUCUGAAAAGUAUGUUCUAUGAAUCUACUAAGAACAUGAAAUUGUUAUGUGGGCAUUAAUACCUGGAGAGAUAAAACACAUACUUGUUACUUAAUAGCACCAUUGUGUUCCACACAUGACACUAAAGACAAACCAGCUACUGCCUGUUAUUAAGUAAACAUACAUGUUAUUUUUAUGAACUUUCUAGAUUCAGUACAUCGAAAAAAUAGAGGUGCAAAAAAGACGCUUGGGGACGUUUUCAGAUUUAAGUACAAUUUGCAACAUUUCUGGUUUGUUUAUCGUUUGUUUUUCACAACUAAUUUUAUUUUGGCAUUAAUUUACAUACAAAGUUCACCUCAUUCACACAGAUUGUCAUAACCACUUUCUGCCAAUGGACUCAACUGUAAAAUUAGUUUAUCAUUUUAUAGUGUAAAUACAAAUAAAAAACUAGUAUUGUAACAAAAGUCAGUGUUUUGUAAGUAGGUAGGUUAAAUAUCAAUAAAGCUUCUGUUUAGUUACAAUUUAUAGUGGUUAUAUUGUAUGUAGGUAAUAUUAGUUGUAUCAUUUUGCAAUGUCAAAUUCUAAAUCCAAACCCAGUAAAUAUGUUCACGGAUGUUUAGCUUCCUAUUGUAAUAACAAGUAUUUUCAUCCUGUCACAGACCCAGAGUAUACAAAUAAAAAGUUUUUUAGAUUUCCAGAUAAAGAUUUAAAAAUACGUCAUGACUGGUUUGAAAUUAUUGGUAAUUGAAUUUACUGAAACUAGGUGUUAUUUAUGUGAAGAUCAUUUUGAGGAAACACAAUUUACAAGCAGUUUAAAAACAAAACUAUUAAAUAAUGCAGUGCCCUCCAAAAUAAUUCACAUAUCCAAUGUCCAUGAUCAACUUUUGCCUAUACCUGCACAUUCUUCUGAUGAAAUCUCUGUUUCAAAUGUACACAUUUUUAGUAACAAAGAAAUAGUUCCUCCAUUAAUAACCCAGUCAAGAAUAAACGCUCAAUUUCCAGUCAGCAUGAUAAUGAGUAUAGUAUUACACCUAAUUUAGACCUAAACACCUAAACAUAUUACACCUAAACAUUAGAAAAAAAGCCGCAACUCGAUAAAACUGCCUUGUCGAAAAAACACUAAGAGCCGAAAAGUUUUAAAAAUAUUGAAUUUAACUAAUGAUAUCACCAUAAUAAUUUAAUUGGAACGUACACAAGAGUUUGGGGGGUUUAAGGGAACAAAACCCCUAUAAAAUUUUUAUGGGGUACACAAAUUUUACUAUAAUUUUUCUUUAAGAUUCCUGCCAUAAAAAUGCCACAUGUCCAUUUUCAAUAAAAAAUCUCUAAUAGUUUUCAAUAUAUUCGAAAAAAUCGAUUUUCAUUUUGUAACUUCAAAGGGCUGUAACUUUUUUAUGUGUAUAUUUGUAAUAAGGUAAGUUAGGUUCAUUCAAACUAUUUUUGGUCAAAGAAUAGGUGAUUUAGUUUAUGACCUGUAUUUUUGUUACACUCUGUAUAUAUGUAUCCUAUUUUUCUAAAAAGUUCUGAGGGAAAUGUAGAAUAACUUAUAAGGUUUUUUUAGGCUACUAGACAAAUUUGUAAUAUAUAUCUGCAUUUUGUAAAAGAUAAGAUAAUUAAAGAAUAAAGAGCGGGGACAUGCAUGCAUUUUGUGUUGAUCUGUGUUUUACAUCAUUAUUUCAAAACAAUUUUACUGCAUAGAUUUUCUUAUUUUGUUUUAUCAGCACUCCAUACAUGCAUGCGGUAAGUGGGGGGUCCCCGUGAGGAUUAAUAAAAAUAUAAUAUAUGUAGUUUUUUCCCAGUGUUUAUAUUAUUUUCUAUUUUUCUGAAAGUUCUGAAAAAAAAUAUUUUUCUUUAGAUAUUUUUAGGCUACUAAUCAAACUAGUAAUAUUUGCAUUUUGUAAAAUAUAAGAUGAAUAAAGAGGUCGCCGUGAAGAUUAAUAAAAAUAAAA
rnacentral:lncRNA from 1 species